rnacentral:rRNA from 1 species
CUACGGGUGGCUGCAGUGGGGAAUAUUGGACAAUGGGCGAAAGCCUGAUCCAGCCAUGCCGCGUGUGUGAAGAAGGCCUUCGGGUUGUAAAGCACUUUCAGUGGGGAAGAAAGCCUUGGGGCUAAUACCCUCGAGGAAGGACAUCACCCACAGAAGAAGCACCGGCUAACUCCGUGCCAGCAGCCGCGGUAAUACGGAGGGUGCGAGCGUUAAUCGGAAUUACUGGGCGUAAAGCGCGCGUAGGCGGUCUGAUAAGCCGGUUGUGAAAGCCCCGGGCUCAACCUGGGAACGGCAUCCGGAACUGUCAGGCUAGAGUGCAGGAGAGGAAGGUAGAAUUCCCGGUGUAGCGGUGAAAUGCGUAGAGAUCGGGAGGAAUACCAGUGGCGAAGGCGGCCUUCUGGACUGACACUGACGCUGAGGUGCGAAAGCGUGGGUAGCAAACAGGAUUAGAUCCCCUGUAUC